UUAUGUAGAACCAGUAAAUGUAAUCCACAUCAAUAUCUGUAGGAAGUAGUUGUGGUGGGGGAGCAUAGAUUUAGCUCUUUUUAUUUUCAUAUCAUGUGAUCUGCGCAAACUCUUCUUCGGUCUUGGUUUCUUGUUUUAUUUCCUCCUCCCCCAUCACUGGAAGCUUUCAUAUAGACUUCAGUGGAAAAACUGUCAACAGUUUGUCAAUGGAUCAAACCCCUUCAGACAUUGUGUACAAGUUUCAAUGCUAUUUUCACAUUCACUUCCUUUCUUGUUUCCGUGCAGAUAACCCUUUGACGCUAAUGAAUCAGUCUGCACAGCAGACCCACAAUCCACAUUUAGGAGAAUUUUUUGACAGCUGUGUUCAUGACCAUGACUAGUUUGGCAUGAAGGACAUUUCUUUGACCUAAUGUGGCAUCUUAUCUUGAUUUGCAGAGCUUCUUUUCAGGGAAAAGAUUUUUAUUAAAAAAAAAAAAAAAGUCCUUGUCACCAGAGUCUCUCUACCAGCAUUUCAAGCUUUUCAUAAGUAAUGACGAACAACAACAUUUUGUGUUUGCAGAUCAUCAUCAAUCGGGGAUUUAUUUUGCAACAUCAAAACCAAGGUACCGGUUAAAUUCUGACUGUGCUGGGAACGAAAGCUGCUAUGAUGGUUGGCCAGUCUAUGGGAAGUGGUUUUGGUGGCUUUCAUCCCUUCCAAAUAACCAGGUGCACCCAUCAGAAAAGCUGUCAUCACUACAGUUGGGCAAAAAAGUUUUGGGGUGCUUUUUUUUAAAAAAAAAAAAAAAAAUGAAAAAUGGCCCUUUCUAAAUGAAAAACUUUUCACCAAAAAUUUGUUUCAUUUGAAAUUUCUCAGUUUUUCA